rnacentral:pre_miRNA from 1 species
AUUUUAAUAAGUAUAUCCCAUGCAAUAUUUGGGACAUACUUAUACUAAAA